UACGGGGGGGCAAGCGUUGUUCGGAAUUACUGGGCGUAAAGGGCUCGUAGGGGGCCAACUAAGUCAGACGUGAAAUCCCUCGGCUUAACCGGGGAACUGCGUCUGAUACUGGAUGGCUUGAGUUUGGGAGAGGGACGCGGAAUUCCAGGUGUAGCGGUGAAAUGCGUAGAUAUCUGGAGGAACACCGGUGGCGAAGGCGGCGUCCUGGACCAACACUGACACUGAGGAGCGAAAGCCAGGGGAGCAAACGGG
rnacentral:rRNA from 1 species